rnacentral:rRNA from 1 species
GGUAAUGCCGGAUGCUCCAGUUGAUCGCAUGGUCUUCUGGGAAAGCUUUCGCGGUAUGGGAUGGGGUCGCGUCCUAUCAGCUUGACGGCGGGGUAACGGCCCACCGUGGCUUCGACGGGUAGCCGGCCUGAGAGGGCGACCGGCCACAUUGGGACUGAGAUACGGCCCAGACUCCUACGGGAGGCAGCAGUGGGGAAUAUUGCACAAUGGGCGCAAGCCUGAUGCAGCGACGCCGCGUGAGGGAUGGAGGCCUUCGGGUUGUAAACCUCUUUUAUCGGGGAGCAAGCGAGAGUGAGUUUACCCGUUGAAUAAGCACCGGCUAACUACGUGCCAGCAGCCGCGGUAAUACGUAGGGUGCAAGCGUUAUCCGGAAUUAUUGGGCGUAAAGGGCUCGUAGGCGGUUCGUCGCGUCCGGUGUGAAAGUCCAUCGCUUAACGGUGGAUCCGCGCCGGGUACGGGCGGGCUUGAGUGCGGUAGGGGAGACUGGAAUUCCCGGUGUAACGGUGGAAUGUGUAGAUAUCGGGAAAGAAC